rnacentral:rRNA from 1 species
GCCGCUCAGAACUAAGGAAUUGACGGGGCCCGCACAAGCGGUGGAGUAUGUGGUUUAAUUCGAUGCAACGCGAAGAACCUUACCUGGUCUUGACAUCCCGGAGACCCUUAGGAAACUAGGGGGUGCUUCCAUCUGGAAGAAUCUGGAGACAGGUGCUGCAUGGCUGUCGUCAGCUCGUGUCGUGAGAUGUCGGGUUAAGUCCCGCAACGAGCGCAACCCUUGCCUUUAGUUGCCAGCAGUUCGGCUGGGCACUCUAAAGGGACUGCCGGUGUUAAACCGGAGGAAGGUGGGGAUGACGUCAAGUCCUCAUGGCCUUUAUGACCAGGGCUACACACGUACUACAAUGGCCGAUACAAAGGGCAGCGACACUGCGAGGUGAAGCCAAUCCCGUAAAAUCGGUCUCAGUCCGGAUUGGAGUCUGCAACUCGACUCCAUGAAGUUGGAAUCGCUAGUAAUCGUGGAUCAGCAUGCCACGGUGAAUACGUUCCCGGGCCUU